rnacentral:rRNA from 1 species
GAUGAACGCUGGCGGCGUGCCUAAUACAUGCAAGUCGAGCGAACGGACGAGAAGCUUGCUUUUCUGAUGUUAGUGGCGGACGGGUGAGUAACACGUGGAUAACCUACCUAUAAGACUGGGAUAACUUCGGGAAACCGGAGCUAAUACCGGAUAAUAUUUUGAACCGCAUGGUUCAAAAGUGAAAGACGGUCUUGCUGUCACUUAUAGAUGGAUCCGCGCUGCAUUAGCUAGUUGGUAAGGUAACGGCUUACCAAGGCAACGAUGCAUAGCCGACCUGAGAGGGUGAUCGGCCACACUGGAACUGAGACACGGUCCAGACUCCUACGGGAGGCAGCAGUAGGGAAUCUUCCGCAAUGGGCGAAAGCCUGACGGAGCAACGCCGCGUGAGUGAUGAAGGUCUUCGGAUCGUAAAACUCUGUUAUUAGGGAAGAACAUAUGUGUAAGUAACUGUGCACAUCUUGACGGUACCUAAUCAGAAAGCCGCGGCUAACUACGUG